rnacentral:rRNA from 1 species
UACGUAGGGUGCAAGCGUUGUCCGGAAUUAUUGGGCGUAAAGAGCUCGUAGGCGGUCUGUCGCGUCGGCUGUGAAAACCCGGAGCUCAACUCCGGGCCUGCAGUCGAUACGGGCAAACUGGAGUGUUGCAGGGGAGACUGGAAUUCCUGGUGUAGCGGUGAAAUGCGCAGAUAUCGGGAGGAACACCGGUGGCGAAGGCGGUUCUCUGGGCCUGUACUGACGCUGAGGAGCGAAAGCGUGGGGAGCGAACAGG